GGGGGUCGGGGUGGAGGUUAGAUCUUCCAGCUUCCCAAACAAAUGCAGCCGGCCCAAGAUGGCUUUCUUAAACUUACUGGGUUCUUUAAAUCUUGUAACGCACCUUUCUGUCUUGAUUUCUCCAAUAGCAACUGAUAUCGCUAGUUAUUAUAAUUAUCAGAUAACCGAUGUCAUGCCUCCUCUAUUCAGCAAAUAUUAAUAAUGAGUGUUCUAUCUACACUGUUCCUUAUUAGCCACGAUGGGGCUCUCAGACACGGACAACAUUCUCUCUACCUUCCAAGGAAAUUAAUGUAGAGAAGGAAAGACAAAUACCACAGGCAGAGGUCACAAACUAUCCUAAUCCACCAUGUUGGAGGAAUCUCUAGGAAUGAUAAGAAACUAGCACAUGCUGCCAUCUGAAUGUCAGAAGAAAGUCCCUCCUCCCCCUCCUCUUCCACAGCCCCCCCCUUCUUCCAGUGGAGGCUUCAGAAAGGAGACAUAUGACUUGAAGGGUGUACUUAGGAGGGAUUAGCUGGGUAAACACGGGGAGAAGGCCCUUUCCAGAUUGGGAAUGGAGUAGGAGAGACCUGAAGUGAGCAAUGGCAUGAUUAAGUUCUGUGUGGAGUUUAUGAAGGCCACUCCAUGGUCUCACGGCAUUUCAAGAGUAUGAAGGAGAAGAUGUCAACAGAUCCUUCGCUGUCAUAUAAUUCAAAGCUUCGAUGGGCUGGGAUCCAAUGGACCCAACCCAAACAGGAAACUGGAUUUCUUGUUGUUUAUCUGGAUCCAUGAACCAGAAAAUGUUGGACAUCUGUUUUCAGUGCUUCAUUGAGCUGGAACUGAAUUGAAACAUGACUCCUUCCAAUGGUGCCUUUUCCAUGGAAUGAUUUAGGAGCUUCGACUGUUAGACCAAGGAACUCAUUCUCAUCCCUAAGUCAGGAGACCAACGGAUGCCCAAGGGAAUUGGGCCCAUCAAUCAGGAAUUGAACUUGGGUUUGCUCAACUACCCAUCUAGCACUAUGGGAACAAAGGCCUAGACCAUCAAAAUGUGAGUGAUACGUUCUUCUAUGUCACAUUAUCACACCCACAAUAGCUGCAAAAGACACUUGACACAAACUGAGGUGCAAAUAUAAUUUAUCCACACACAAUUUGUUAUUACAGACAGUAGAAAAAAAUACAAGUGUUCCCUAAGAAUUCUCACUUGAU